GAUGAACGCUGGCGGCGUGCCUAAUACAUGCAAGUCGAGCGAACAGACGAGGAGCUUGCUCCUCUGACGUUAGCGGCGGACGGGUGAGUAACACGUGGAUAACCUACCUAUAAGACUGGGAUAACUUCGGGAAACAGGAGCUAAUACCGGAUAAUAUAUUGAACCGCAUGGUUCAAUAGUGAAAGACGGUUUUGCUGUCACUUAUAGAUGGAUCCGCGCCGCAUUAGCUAGUUGGUAAGGUAACGGCUUACCAAGGCAACGAUGCGUAGCCGACCUGAGAGGGUGAUCGGCCAUACUGGAACUGAGACACGGUCCAGACUCCUACGGGAGGCAGCAGUAGGGAAUCUUCCGCAAUGGGCGAAAGCCUGACGGAGCAACGCCGCGUGAGUGAUGAAGGUCUUCGGAUCGUAAAACUCUGUUAUUAGGGAAGAACAAAUGUGUAAGUAACUAUGCACGUCUUGACGGUACCUAAUCAGAAAGCCACGGCUAACUACGUG
rnacentral:rRNA from 1 species